GCGCCGAUGGUGUAUGGUACACCUGCCGCAGAAUGUAGUAUCCGUUGAGCAGUCAUUACAACGGCAAGCUGGGGUUCGAUUCCCCGUCAGUGCA